GGAGAGAGAAAAUAUAUGUUGCCGGGAAGUACCCCAGGUCAUUAGAAGAAUGACCCAGGUUCCGGAGGAGAUAACCUGUAUGAUUGACCAUCCUGGCCUUGAACCGGUGUGCCUCAACAUAUAUUCUUUACAAAAUGCAAUGAACAUCUACAGAGCUGACCAUGGGCAGUUGAGAAUAAGAGGGAUGGAAAGGCAAUGCAGACACUUGGCCUACAGAUCUUUCGUGAGCUGGUGCUGGGGUUUCCUUGG